rnacentral:rRNA from 1 species
UUGAACGCUGGCGGCAUGCUUUACACAUGCAAGUCGAACGGCAGCACGGGUGCUUGCCCUGGUGGCGAGUGGCGGACGGGUGAGUAAUGUAUCGGAACGUGUCCUAAAGUGGGGGAUAACGCAUCGAAAGAUGUGCUAAUACCGCAUAAUCUCUGAGGAGAAAAGCAGGGGAUCGUAAGACCUUGCGCUUUUGGAGCGGCCGUUAUCUGAUUAGCUAGUUGGUGGGGUAAAGGCCCACCAAGGCUUCGAUCAGUAGUUGGUCUGAGAGGACGACCAGCCACACUGGAACUGAGACACGGUCCAGACUCCUACGGGAGGCAGCAGUGGGGAAUUUUGGACAAUGGGGGAAACCCUGAUCCAGCCAUGCCGCGUGAGUGAAGAAGGCCUUCGGGUUGUAAAGCUCUUUCAGUCGGAAGAAAGAUUGUAACUAAUAAUUACAAUUAAUGACGGUACCGAAAGAAGAAGCACCGGCUAACUACGUGC